ACAGAGGUCUCAAGCGUUGUUCGGAUUCAUUGGGCGUAAAGGGCGCGUAGGCGGCGGGGUAAGUCGGGUGUGAAAUCUCAGAGCUCAACUCUGAAACUGCACUCGAUACUGCUCUGCUUGAGGACUGGAGAGGAGACUGGAAUUCACGGUGUAGCAGUGAAAUGCGUAGAUAUCGUGAGGAAGACCAGUGGCGAAGGCGGGUCUCUGGACAGUUCCUGACGCUGAGGCGCGAAGGCCAGGGGAGCAAACGGG
rnacentral:rRNA from 1 species